CAUGCCGUAAACGAUGAGUGCUAAGUGUUAGGGGGUUUCCGCCCCUUAGUGCUGCAGCUAACGCAUUAAGCACUCCGCCUGGGGAGUACGACCGCAAGGUUGAAACUCAAAGGAAUUGACGGGGCCCGCACAAGCGGUGGAGCAUGUGGUUUAAUUCGAAGCAACGCGAAGAACCUUACCAGGUCUUGACAUCCCGAUGACCGCUCUAGAGAUAGAGUUUUCCCUUCGGGGACAUUGGUGACAGGUGG
rnacentral:rRNA from 1 species